rnacentral:piRNA from 2 species
UGCUGUGAUAAAACCUCAUGACCAGAAGC